GACGAACGCUGGCGGCGUGCCUAAUACAUGCAAGUCGAGCGGAGUUAGAGAAGCUUGCUUCUCUAACUUAGCGGCAGACGGGUGAGUAACACGUGGGCAAUCUGCCCGUAAGACUGGGAUAACUCCGGGAAACCGGGGCUAAUACCGGAUAAUCCUGACUCUCUCCUGAGAGUCAGUUGAAAGAUGGUUUCGGCUAUCACUUACGGAUGAGCCCGCGGCGCAUUAGCUAGUUGGUAGGGUAAUGGCCUACCAAGGCGACGAUGCGUAGCCGACCUGAGAGGGUGAUCGGCCACACUGGGACUGAGACACGGCCCAGACUCCUACGGGAGGCAGCAGUAGGGAAUCUUCCGCAAUGGACGAAAGUCUGACGGAGCAACGCCGCGUGAGUGAAGAAGGUUUUCGGAUCGUAAAACUCUGUUGUAAGGGAAGAACACGUACGAGAGUAACUGCUCGUACCUUGACGGUACCUUAUUAGAAAGCCACGGCUAACUACGUG
rnacentral:rRNA from 1 species